rnacentral:rRNA from 1 species
UACGAAGGGCCCGAGCGUUGCGCGGAAUCACUAGGCUUAAAGCGUGCGUAGGCGGGCAUGUAAGCACUUUGUGAAAUCCCUCGGCUCAACCGAGGAACUGCUUGGUGGACUGCAUGCCUUGAGGCAAGUAGGGGCUGUCGGAACGAUAGGUGGAGCGGUGAAAUGCGUUGAUAUCUAUCGGAACGCCGAAGAUGAAGACAGGCAGCUGGGCUUGUUCUGACGCUGAAGCACGAAAGCGUGGGGAGCGAACGGG